GGAAGACCUAGUGGCGAACGGGUGCGUAACACGUGAGAAACCUGCCCCGGACUUGGGAAUAACAGUCGGAAACGACUGCUAAUACCGAAUACCUUCACAUCGUCGCAUGGCGAAGUGAGGAAAGCUUUUGCGGUUUGGGAGGGUCUCGCGGCCUAUCAGCUUGUUGGUGAGGUAACGGCUCACCAAGGCAUCGACGGGUAGCUGGUCUGAGAGGAUGAUCAGCCACACUGGGACUGAGACACGGCCCAGACUCCUACGGGAGGCAGCAGUGGGGAAUAUUGCACAAUGGGCGCAAGCCUGAUGCAGCAACGCCGCGUGCGGGAAGAAGGCCCUAGGGUUGUAAACCGCUUUCAGCAGGGAAGAAAAUGACGGUACCUGCAGAAGAAGGUGCGGCCAACUACGUGCCAGCAGCCGCGGUGACACGUAGGCACCAAGCGUUGUCCGGAUUUAUUGGGCGUAAAGAGCUCGUAGGCGGUUUUGUAAGUCGGGUGUGAAAACUCUGGGCUCAACCCAGAGAGGCCACCCGAUACUGCAAUGACUUGAGUACGGUAGGGGAGCGGGGAAUUCCUGGUGUAGCGGUGAAAUGCGCAGAUAUCAGGAGGAACACCAGUGGCGAAGGCGCCGCUCUGGGCCGUAACUGACGCUGAGGAGCGAAAG
rnacentral:rRNA from 1 species